rnacentral:rRNA from 1 species
CAGCAGCCACGGUAAUACGGAGGGUGCAAGCGUUAAUCGGAAUUACUGGGCGUAAAGCGCACGCAGGCGGUCUGACAAGUCAGAUGUGAAAUCCCCGGGCUCAACCUGGGACCUGCAUUUGUGACUGUAUAGCUAGAGUACGGUAGAGGGGGAUGGAAUUCCGCGUGUAGCAGUGAAAUGCGUAGAUAUGCGGAGGAACACCGAUGGCGAAGGCAAUCCCCUGGACCUGUACUGACGCUCAUGCACGAAAGCGUGGGGAGCAAACAGGAUUAGAUACCCCUGUAGUCCCUGUCUCUUAUAC